rnacentral:rRNA from 1 species
GACGUAGGAGGCGAGCGUUAUCCGGAUUCACUGGGCGUAAAGCGCAUGUAGGCGGUUGAUUAAGUCCGUUGUUAAAGCCCCUGGCUCAACUGGGGGAGGUCAAUGGAGACUAUUCGACUUGAGGGCAACAGAGGCACAUGGAACUCCCGGUGUAGCGGUGGAAUGCGUAGAGAUCGGGAAGAACACCCGUGGCGAAGGCGGUGUGCUGGGUUGCAACUGACACUGAUGGACGGAAGCUAGGGGAGCGAAUGGG